rnacentral:rRNA from 1 species
UACAGAGGUCUCAAGCGUUGUUCGGAUUCAUUGGGCGUAAAGGGUGCGUAGGCGGCGCGGUAAGUCGGGUGUGAAAUCUCGGAGCUUAACUCCGAAACUGCAUUGGAUACUGCCUUGCUCGAGUACUGGAGAGGGAACUGGAAUUUACGGUGUAGCAGUGAAAUGCGUAGAGAUCGUAAGGAAGGCCAGUGGCGAAGGCGAGUUCCUGGACAGUUACUGACGCUGAGGCACGAAGGCCAGGGAGCAAACGAG